rnacentral:rRNA from 1 species
UACAGAGGUCUCAAGCGUUGUUCGGAUUCAUUGGGCGUAAAGGGUGUGUAGGUGGCGCCGUAAGUCGGGUGUGAAAUUUCGGAGCUUAACUCCGAAACUGCAUUCGAUACUGCGGUGCUUGAGGACUGGAGAGGAGACUGGAAUUCAUGGUGUAGCAGUGAAAUGCGUAGAGAUCAUGAGGAAGACCAGUGGCGAAGGCGGGUCUCUGGACAGUUCCUGACGCUGAGACGCGAAAGCGUGGGGAGCGAACCGG